rnacentral:lncRNA from 1 species
AAAACAUAUUUGCAGUCUACCUGCUGCAGUGUGCAGAUGUUGAGGGCGCAUCUACAUUGAGCACAGCGGUAGUGGGAGGGCCAGUCUGUCAUCAUUACGGGAAGAAACAUUCAUUUUUCAGCCAAACUCUAUCGCAGUAUGUUGAAUAUCCACACAUCGAUACAGCUGACGCUCUGCGCUUGUUUGCAUGACGGCUUUUAGGAAGGGAGUGUGAAAUAAGUCGCAGUCAGCCGGUAUUCACAGCACACAGCAAUGAGCACUAGGACAGAAGUUGUUAUUCUGCAGCAGCCGAUGUCUGUGUGUGUACCACCAAACCAUGAGGUGACCUUAAGAGUUCAAGCAAUAGGCACUGGUGCAUUAAAGUAUCAGUGGUUUGAUAAACAACAGGCAGAGGUUUGUAGACUAUAUCUUUUAUAUCUUUGA